rnacentral:rRNA from 1 species
GCUGCGCGUGCUGCAAAGUGUGCCUCCUGGAUGUCGCCACCGGGUGUGGUACUCCCUGAGCGUCCGCACGGAAGGCUUUACCAAAAAUCUUGUGUUUCCCAUGUCUUCUGUCUGAACUGUCAUAUAAAAUAAAUUAAAACUUUCAACAACGGAUCUCUUGGUUCUCGCAUCGAUGAAGAACGCAGCGAAAUGCGAUAAGUAGUGUGAAUUGCAGAAUUCCGUGAAUCAUCGAAUCUUUGAACGCACAUUGCGCCUCCUGGUAUUCCGGGAGGCAUGCCUGUUCGAGCGUCAUUAAAAUCAAAUCAAGCACUGGUGCUUGGUCAUGGCGGAAGAGACCACCCUGCGGUCUCCCCACCGAAAUCCAAUGGCGGAAAGUCUCCGGUACUCGGCGUAGUAGUAACGUUCGCUUCGUAUCCGGAGUCCUACCUGCCGACAAACCCCUCACCAUUCUCU